GGCAGAUGACAAUCAAAAAUUGCAUAAUUAGUUUUCCUCAAUUUUGUGAUUCAACUGAUAUCUCUGGAAUGUGUCUCUUAGUAUAGCUAUAGUUAUAUGAAGUUAUCAAUUUUAAGAGUUUUUUAAAUGACUUUUUCCCUCAAAAGCAUAUUCAUAACUUUUUGUUCCUGAGGAAAAACACAUUUUCAAACAAAAAGAUAACAGUAUUUAAAACUGUAGGCCUCAGAAAUCCAUAGCAUAAAAACAAUUUACAUAUCAUUAAUGAAGUUUUUUAAGCAUCUGACUGAAAUUAAAUAACUUAAUUCUCUUUUUGAGGUGUUCUUACUACGUCAACACAGUGCACAAGUUAAUAUUGCCAUUCCGAUUAAAAAUCAGAUUAUUCCUUUUUUUUUUUUUCCAGAGCAUUCUGAUCUUAACAAGGUAAUAUGCGCUCAGCAACACGUAACUCAAGAAUGUGGUCAAAGAGCCGUCUUCUGCCUCCGCUCACACAAAAAAAAAAUGCUGUGUGUCUACUUGCCAAUGCCACUAUAUAUGAAAUGCCACUUUGGAUAAGGUUUGCAUGAAGGAAGAGCGCUUAAUUCAGUAACCAGCCAUGAGAUACCCACUCACAUCCAACCAAUGGCAGAAUAAGUAUUUUAUCCUCUUUUGAGAUAUUCUUCCUAUUUGGGCUAACAUAAAAAUAACGAAACAAAUAUUGAGAUGAGAGUAUGAAAUUCCAUAUUUACUAGCACUUAGGCCUUUCCAUUUCACAUGCAUCUUCCAUUACAAGUAAUUACGACUUGCCUGUCUGCCAAAGCCAGCAUGGCUGUGUGGAGUAAAAGGUCUUUACUUUCUUUAGGGUGUUUAUUGACACAGAGAUCAUUACAUUUAAAAAGAUUUUACAGAGAGAUAGAACUACAGUCUCAGUUCCACAGGCUGGAAAAUAAGACGGAGAGAGAUUAAACAAUUUCCCCAGACUGCACUGAAAAUCUGCUAUGAGGAGGUUCAGUUCUCCAGAGCAACAAUCCAAUGCCUUACUCCUGAAUUUUUGAAAAUACAAAAGCAAGUAUUAAAGCUGAAAAAAUGACUUGAAUUAUGUGAAUUAAUUAUUAAAAUAAUUAAUAUGGGCCUGUUCAUGGGGCCUGUUCAGCCUGGAGAAGAGGAGGCUGAGGGGGGGACCUCAUCACGGUCUACAACUUCCUUGCGAAGGGGAGUGGAGAGGCAGGUGACCUAUUCACUGUAAACACCAGUGAUAGGACCCCCGGGAAUGGUGUUAAGCUGAGGCGGGGGAAGUUUAGG
rnacentral:lncRNA from 1 species